GACGAACGCUGGCGGCGUGCUUAACACAUGCAAGUCGAACGCUGAAGCUUGGUGCUUGCACUGGGUGGAUGAGUGGCGAACGGGUGAGUAAUACGUGAGUAACCUGCCCUUGACUCUGGGAUAAGCCUGGGAAACUGGGUCUAAUACUGGAUACGACAUGUCACCGCAUGGUGGUGUGUGGAAAGGGUUUUACUGGUUUUGGAUGGGCUCACGGCCUAUCAGCUUGUUGGUGGGGUAAUGGCUCACCAAGGCGACGACGGGUAGCCGGCCUGAGAGGGUGACCGGCCACACGGGGACUAAGACACGGCCCAGACUCCUACGGGAGGCAGCAGUGGGGAGUAUUGCACAAUGGUCGGAAGCCUGAUGCAGCGACGCCGCGUGAGGGAUGACGGCCUUCGGGUUGUAAACCUCUUUCAGCACGGAAGAAGCGAAAGUGACGGUACGUGCAGAAGAAGCGCCGGCUAACUACGUG
rnacentral:rRNA from 1 species